rnacentral:rRNA from 1 species
UACGGGGGGGGGCAAGCGUUGUUCGGAAUUACUGGGCGUAAAGGGCUCGUAGGUGGCCAACUAAGUCAGACGUGAAAAUCCCCCGGGCUCAACCCGGGAACUGCGUCCGAUACUGGAAGGCUUGAAUCCGGGAGAGGGAUGUGGAAUUCCUGGUGUAGCGGUGAAAUGCGCAGAUAUCAGGAGGAACACCGGUGGCGAAGGCGGGUCUCUGGGCCGAUACUGACGCUGAGGAGCGAAAGCGUGGGGAGCGAACAGG